rnacentral:misc_RNA from 1 species
ACUGCAAAUGGGUGGGUUCAGUCAUAUGGCUCUCGUUGUGUCAAGCCUCCAAUCAUCUAUGGUGAUGUGAGUCGCCCUAAGGCUAUGACUGUCUUCUGGUUAUCAAUGGCUCAAAGCAUGACCAAGAGACCAAUGAAGGGAAUGCUUACUGGUCCUGUUACCAUUUUGAACUGGUCCUUUGUCAGAAAUGAUCAGCCCAC